UUAUUUUGACUGUGCUAAGGUAGCGAAAUCAUUUGUUUUUUUAUUGAAAACUUGUAUGAGGGGAUGAAUAUAGGCUUUUUUAUUAAAGGGAUUUUGAGCGAAAUUGAUUUUUUUAUGAAAAGUUAAAAGUUUUCCCAAAGACGAGAAGACCCCGAAAUCUUUAUUUUAAAAUUAUAGUUUUUAAUUUUUAUUUGGGGGAAAGAUUUAUUUCUAUAAAUAGUUUUUUUAUUGGGAACUUUUUUAGGUUGAUUGUAUAGAUACUUCGGGGAUAACAGGAUUAUUUUCUUUUGAAGUUCUUAUUUUAAAGGUAGAUUGUUACCUCGAUGUUGGCUUUGGA
rnacentral:rRNA from 1 species